CUCUACUUGUCUCAUCGCCGUUUAUAUCCCCCAAAUUCGCCUAACCAUCAUAAAAGAUGGAGAUACAGCUGAAUAUUCACCUUUCACCAAUACUGAAGAAAUAAAUCUUGGUAUUAUUUGAUUGAUGGGGACGUUUUCCGGUUCCAGGGAAGAUUUUGGAAUUUGCUUUCUAACCUAACCUCGGAAC